AAAGUUUUACCAUACACCUUCGGAUUCGAUCCGGACGCUCUCUCUCCAAGAACAACAGUCAUUCGCCUUCGACCCUCUCUCCCACUCCAGAAUCCUCAAGCGCUCUCCAGUCUCCACUUCUCGCGCAUCAACCCUCUUCUCCCCAACUUCAUCGUCAUCGGCGGAGUUCCCGACUCCGAUUCGUGAAAGCUCGGUCCUCCUCUCCCUCUCGCUAACCCCGACAACCCCAAUAUCAUAUAAAGGUUACAAGUCAUCGGCGUUAGUUUUGUAUUGAAACCGUACAAUUUAAUUGGAAAUUGGGGGUUUCGAAUUUGCAGUUGACUCCGACAUAGUAGUGAAGCCGAUUGAAGGAUUCGUCGUGUUGGUGACGGUCAGUUGGUUGGUGAAGGCUGGUGGUCGCCGUCGUUCAAAAUCGGCUCAUCUUCGAUCUGGUCCAGGAGCUGACCUUCCCUCUCGCCAGAUUAUUGAAACCCCAAGGUCAAUGCUUCUCUCAGUUUGAAUACUAGAAGCAGCGGUUCCAAUUGGCUUCGCUUUUCUUGGGGUUGGAGUUGGGGGUGGGGGAUAACAACGGUGGAUCAGAUACUGCUGCGCUUUUAAUAAUAAUGGAGUAGCCUUGAAUAGUGCGGUGGCAGGCAGCCACAAAAAAGUAUUGAUUUUGAUGAAGAAUUUGGAGAUGAAUAUCAGGAUACAGAGGACAAUGAUGUGUUUACUUAUUAGUCAAGGGAAGCUUCUUUUAUAGCAUAAGAAAUAAAUAUUAUGCUUUUGUUCAAUAUGUGCUGUAGUUUUUAUCUUCUGCUUCCCUCUUCCCAUGAAUAUUGCAGUAGGAAGUACGAAAAUAAAACAGGUUCUGUAAUAAGCAUAUUAGUUCUGCUAAUAUUUUUCACGCUUCCUGCCGGUAUUCAUAAAGUACUUGGCUAAUGGAACUUCCCAUAAAUCUUUUUCAAUUGAUCCUGGUUGUUACUCUAUUCUCCAGUCUGCUAAGAAAUGGAGAAAUCUUAAUAUUUCCUAAAUUGUCACCACCAUUCAACAAUAUUGGAUUAGUUGGUGUAAGUACUUUAUUUUAACAUUCUGUUGCUGAGGUGCAUUUGUUGAACAGUUGGACUUUUUUUAUAUAAAAAAAUUAAGUCAAUCUACUAAGUUGAAUGUUGGAAUUUGUUGUGGUUAAAUGUAUGGUUGUUCUCACUGUGUUUGAUAAUUUGGCUUAUAUCUUUUCUUAGACCAUCUUUCAAUAAUGUAAUUUGACUGCACUCACUCUUCAAUAUGGGCAGCAUCACAUUCUAUGAUUGUUGUCAUUGUGCCCAAGUCUUUGCAACAACUGGGCUGUAAUCUGAUAUGAUUGUUGUCAUUGUGCUCAAGUCUUUGCCAGCUUGUAUUAUAGACCCCAUCCUAAGUGGAUUUUCUGUGCUAGCAUACAUCCUUUUUUAUUUUGGAAAACUUUUAGCGUCAGUAUUUCAAGCUUCCAAACUUCACUAUGAUUCUGCCUACGUAGUGCAUAAAGUUAUUGUUUCAAGCUUUCUUUUCUUCAUGAUUGGAUGGGAGUCUGCUAUAUAUCGUCAGCUUAUGUUUAUAAUUGAAAUUCUGACAUUUGAAAUUCAUAAUUUCUCUG